UAUCAAUAAAUCUCAUGUGAUUGCAGC
rnacentral:piRNA from 1 species